CCUACGGGAGGCAGCAGUGGGGAAUUUUCCGCAAUGGGCGCAAGCCUGACGGAGCAACGCCGCGUGCGGGAGGACGGUUUGUGGACUGCAAACCGCUUUUAAUAGGGAAGAAGUUCUGACGGUACCUAUUGAAUAAGCAUCGGCUAACUCCGUGCCAGCAGCCGCGGUAAUACGGAGGAUGCAAGCGUUAUCCGGAUUUAUUGGGCGUAAAGGGUCCGCAGGUGGUACAUCAAGUCAGCUGUUAAAGACUGGGGCUUAACUCCGGAGUAGCAGUUGAAACUGAUGAAUUAGAGUACGGUAGGGGUAGAGGGAAUUCCUAGUGUAGCGGUGAAAUGCGUAGAUAUUAGGAAGAACGCCAGUGGCGAAGGCGCUCUACUGGGCCUGUACUGACACUGAGGGACGAAAGCUAGGGGAGCGAAAGGGAUUAGAUACCCCUGUAGUCCUAGCUGUAAACGAUGGAUACUAGGUGUUGCUCGUAUCGACCCGAGCAGUAUCGUAGCCAACGCGUUAAGUAUCCCGCCUGGGGAGUACGCACGCAAGUGUGAAACUCAAAGGAAUUGACGG
rnacentral:rRNA from 1 species